GACGAGGUCUGCCUGGAGACUGACGCAGUACUGACGCGCUUUACACCAGUCUGUUGGCUGUUUGUACAGGUGGACACAUCCUGCGCUGGUUUGCGAAAACGGGGCGUCACAGGUUGAUGCCACUGCGGAUAAGGUAGUUUUUCAGUAGAAGGACAGAGCGUGUCGCGGCGAGACAGCAGUGAAGAGUGGACAGCGUCAGGAGGGAGAGAGAGAAGGACUGGACUCAUGGAAUUUGUGGCUGGCUCCCGCCACCACGAGAAACACAUAGCAACACUUACAGUAUAAUGAGGCUCACCUGUGUGUCAGCAGACGCUCACCUGUGCCUGCGUGGUCGGGAACGAUGGCACGAUUCCAGCAGAAGGCGGGGAAGCAGUCUUGCUCCAGCGUGGUCCCAUGGGACACCGGUGCGCCCUCCACGAAACACACUGCGGCGAGGGACACACUGCUGUAAGGGGCUGAGACGUGGCGGCGGCGUCGAGCUGCGCCUGCGAGACCAGCGCCCGGUGCCAUACGGCCUCGCUCACCUCGGCGGCGGCAAGCGGGGCGGCCCCCAGCAGCGCCAGCAGCGCCACCAUGGGCGGCAGGGGCGGAGGCAGCGGCGACAUGGCGAGCGUCCGUCUGGGGCGGAGUGAUGAGGUGUUCUGGGCAGAGGAGACGUAUGGACGGCCACCGGAAGACUAUUGAUUGGGUAAUCGGGUAGAAUCA